rnacentral:tRNA from 1 species
GGAGAGGUCGCAUAGUGGCCUAGUGCGUUCGCUUGGAAAGCGAAUAUGCCGCAAGGCAUCGAGGGUUCGACUCCCUCCCUCUCCG